AAAAAACGUUUUUCAAAAGUGUUUCCUAUGCUUUGUAUGCGCUUAAUGAAAAUUUUUCAAGGCAAGCUUUCAAGUUACUGAAUUUACCCGCCAUUCGAAUUCACAGAGGUUUUCUUCUUCACCUUCCUUCGUCUCUCGCCGUUGCCGCCACUCACCAUCUCCGUCUCGUGCGCUCACCACCGUCGUCUCGUGAGCUCACCGUCGCAGCUCACAAUCGUCGUCUCGCGCGCUCACCGCCGCUGCUCCCAAUCGUCGCAAGCCUCCUUGGCUCAUCAUCGUAGCUCACAUCGUCGUCUCGUCGCUCACCAUCGUGCACUCACUAGAUAAUCAUUCUCUGAUUCACUCUCUAUCUUCUCUUUCUUGCUCAUUACCUCACUUCUUCUCUCGUUUCAGUGUCGAAGAAGGUGCGUGUGGCUAUGAUGAUGAUGAUGAUGAACAACAAUGGCCAAACUAGACAGAAAUGGUAGCUGAAGUGAUACAGAGAGUUUCUAACAUGGCAGGGGUUACGACAGAAGAAGUUCCAAUUAAUACACUGAAGUCUUCUACUGAAGAUCAAGAGAAUCAGGAUAAGUCUGCUGCACUGAGCUUACUUAGCAUUCAAGGAACUGCAUUGAUGUCUAUUGCUGUUGGUUUUGUUGUAGUAGCAAUGAUAUGAUGGACUUGAAGAUGAUCAUCAUCCAUUUGGUUGCUUCACUUGUGAAGAACUCUUCUUUUCUUGAUUCUUUUAAAUUUUGCUUAGUUUUCUCUUUCUCACUUUCUGAAAUGUCAAGAGUAUGCAUUGCUGUCUGAUUUGUUCUUUUCAACUUUUUGUUAGUAAAAUGUCUGAUAUGCUUUGAUUAAUUUGAUAUUAAAUUUCGCAAAACCUGUUCACCAUAAGUUCGGCAAAAUGUGAUAUUAAGGCAGGAAACUCUUCAGCUUGGGCCAGUUUAAGGGGUUUGGACUUCUGUGUUUUAUUUCUUCUAGAAACUUCAAUAUAAUAUAAUAUGAUACAUCAGUGUAAAUCCUAAACCCUUUUAAUGGUAGUUACUUAUCUGGAAGUCUUUUAAGACCUUUUAAAAGCCAUAUUUAUGGAUAAUUGCAGAGAAAUACUAAGAAUGCAAGCAUGGAAAAAGGGAAAUUAAAUUCAAUCUCUUCUCUAAGUCUCAACUAACUUGAUUUGUAUUAAUCAUCAUCCAUGUUCUUAGAGUUUAUUAACUCAAUGAUUGAUCUUGAACACAAGUUUUAUCAGAAACGUGAUUAAGCAAUGCAUACCAGAGCUGUUUACUUAUUCAAUUUCCUGGCAGCUUUCUCAUGUAAUUUCCCCUGAAAUUCGAAUGAGUUCUAUUCCACUGUUUGAUAAAUGGUCCCUGGGAUUUUAUCUUGUAUGUGUUACUUUUUCAGGAGAUUUUGAAGGGCAAGUUCGGUUCAGGUUUAUCAGUGAUCAUAAAGUCUUGUUGUUUUCUCCUAAGUAUUUUGUUGAAGUUUUCACCCCAUUACUUGUAAAAUUAUCCUGUCAGCUGCAUUCACUCGGAUGUGUGCCACUUCUGUGGAAACAAUUAGUCUUACAACUUGGGCCUAGUGUCAAUUGUGAUAUUAACUAGCUCGUUGGCAUUUCAACUGUCAGUUAUGAUCUUGUGUUAUUCUCAUUUUCAUUGUUGUAUCUUUUCUUACCUUCUCUUCCACUUUAUAUUAAAAACCUUGUUUGGCUAGAGAUUUCUAUGUAUAUCCUUGCUGCCUACUCGAAUUAUGCAUUCUUUUAUUAAUAAUAUGCUGAGUUACUUAUCCAAAAGUGGGGAAAAAAUAAUUUUCUGCAGACUGAACAGAAGCAAUGAGGCUUGGUAUCAAUGGACCUUGGAUCACCAAAUCAUAUCUUGAAAUGAUCCUUGAUAAAAAAAGAAAUGCCUUCCUCGAUGCUGAUUGGUCACUGGUUGAGAAGACCAGAAGAAAUACAUUUUUGCCUGCCAAGGCACUGCAAUCAUUGCACCAAAACCAAUUCGUGCGACUCCUGACCUUGUUACCGGAUUGGAGGAUUUUCUCAGCCAUGGACUCGGUUCCUCAACUGAUCAAAUGGCUAUUUGCUCGCAAAACCUCUGAUAAAUUGUCUUUGUAAAGUUCUAGUCCAAACACAGUAGGAGAGGAGGGAGGAGAGUUAGCCACAAGAGCUUGUUUGUAACUCACAUUCUGUAUCAUACAUUUAUUUUUUUUAUAU